UACGUAGGGCGCAAGCGUUGUCCGGAAUUAUUGGGCGUAAAGAGCUCGUAGGCGGCCUGUUACGUCUGCUGUGAAAUCCCGGGGCUUAACCCCGGGCGUGCAGUGGAUACGGGCAGGCUGGAGGCAGGCAGGGGAGAACGGAAUUCCCGGUGUAGCGGUGAAAUGCGUAGAUAUCAGGAGGAAUACCGGUGGGGAAGACGGCUCUCUGGACCGCCACUGACGCUGAGACACGAAAGCGUGGGUAGCAAACAGG
rnacentral:rRNA from 1 species